UUUUUUUACUUUUAGAGAAAGAUUUUAUUUUUUACUUUUACUUGUGUGAUAAAUAAACCAGCAUUAAAAUAUUGUACUUUUAGAAUAUUGCUAAAAAGAGAAAAAAAAAAUUCUGUCCUUUUAAACUUGUAGGCUAGGUUUAAACUUGUAGGUUAGGUUUAAACUUGUAGGUUAGGUUUAAACAAAAUAUACUAAUCGUUUAUAAUAAAGAAAGAAAAAAGUUUGUUAAUAUUCAAUGUUGUUUAAAGAGUGAAAUAUGACCAAUUAAUUUCAUUCCUGUUGAAGUUGCUAAUUUUAAAUUGCUUUUAAAAUAAAAUUUGAGAUAGAUACUA
rnacentral:sRNA from 1 species